UAUGAGUAUCCAUCAGGAUCAAUCUCGAAUUGAUCUUCAUGUAGUAGAUUCUUCUUCUCCAAGUAGAAUCUCAGUCUUAGAACUUAGAUCAACUUUUUGAUUUAGACUAUGAGAUCAACUCUUUGAUUUGCAGCCUUCUUCUUCUUUUCCUCGUUCUUCGCUCUUGAAGAAAAAUCACCUCUACUUUUGACGUGUGGAAAGUGGAUGCCCAACCCUUGGGCGUGGAAGAGAAGAGAGGGAGGAGAGAACGCAUGGAGAAGGGAGAGAGAGACUUUUUUGUUUCACCAAAAUUCUUCAUAGA
rnacentral:lncRNA from 1 species